GCCGAUUCCUUUGCAGUCUUCCUUGUCUCUGACAUAGCAAAGCUGGUUCCUUUGCUUUCUACACUCUUUACUUUUAUUUAUUAUUGUGGCAUGACACAUGUGGAGGUCAGAAGACAACUUUGAGGAAUUGUUUCUUUCCUUCUGUCUUUACAGGGGUCCCAGAGAUUCACUGAGGUGUCCUGCCAGGCCCUCCACCUUAACUUUGUGAGACAAGGUCUCUCACUGGACCUGGAGCUCCAACUUUGACUAAACUGAUUGGCCAACACAUCCCAGGGAUACACCUGUCUCUCCUUCCCUGGAACUGGGACUACCGGUGUGAGCCAUGACCAGCUUUUAUACGUGGGUGCUAAGGAUCGAACUCAUGUCCUUAUGGUUGUGCAGCAAGCAUUUUACUGCCUGAGGUAUUUCUCCAGCCCAAGGAGUGGUUGUGCUGGGGUUCCAACCCAGGGUCUUACAGAUUCUGGGCAUUCAUUCUACCACUGAGCCCAUUUCCAGUUACUGGGACUUUUUAUUGUUUUUCUUUUGUGCUGGAGAAGGAAUUCAGGGCCUCACAAGUGUCCUACCACUGGGCUACAUCAUCAGCCUAGAAACCUUUUUUAAAAAAGAUUUAUUUAUGUAUGCGUAUGAUACUCUAUUUGUAUGCAUGCCUGCAUGACAGAUCCCAUUAUAGAUGGUUGUGAGCCACCAUGUGAUUGCUGGGAAUUGAACUCAGGACCUCUGGAAGAGCAGUCAGUGCUCUUAACCACUGAGCCAUCUCUCCAGCUCUCAGAAACCUGUUUUAAAGUUAAAAGAAUUUCUCAUUUUCUCAUUAGGGAUGUGUGUGCUGCAGUGGACGUGGUAAGCAUGUGCUAGAUCACAGAGAUACACGCCGCACUAGUUUACAAUACAUUCCCCCCACCCCGCCCUUCUCUCCUUUCCCCCUCCCCC
rnacentral:lncRNA from 1 species